rnacentral:rRNA from 1 species
AGCGAACGCUGGCGGCAGGCCUAAUACAUGCAAGUCGAACGGCUCUUCGGAGCAGUGGCGGACGGGUGAGUAACGCGUGGGAACGUGCCCUUUGGUUCGGAACAACACAGGGAUACUUGUGCUAAUACCGAAUGUGCCCUUCGGGGGAAAGAUUUAUCGCCAUUGGAGCGGCCCGCGUGGGAUUAGCUAGUUGGUGGGGUAAAGGCCCACCAAGGCGACGAUCCAUAGCUGGUCUGAGAGGAUGAUCAGCCACACUGGGACUGAGACCCGGCCCAGACUCCUACGGGAGGCAGCAGUAGGGAAUCCUGCGCAAUGGGCGAAAGCCUGACGCAGCCAUGCGGCGUGAAUGAGGAAGGUCUUAGGAUUGUAAAAUUCUUUCACCGGGGAAGAUAAUGACGGUACCCGGAGAAGAAGCCCCGGCUAACUUCGUG